UGCGUAGGCGGGUCUUUAAGUCAGGGGUGAAAUCCUGGAGCUCAACUCCAGAACUGCCCUUGAUACUGAGGAUCUUGAGUUCGGGAGAGGUGAGUGGAACUGCGAGUGUAGAGGUGAAAUUCGUAGAUAUUCGCAAGAACACCAGUGGCGAAGGCGGCUCACUGGCCAGAUACUGACGCUGAGGCACGAAAGCGUGGGGAGCAAACA
rnacentral:rRNA from 1 species